GGGUCAGAUCUCGAGCUUGGGAACCCUAAUGGAGGAGACUCUAAAAGGAAGCAGGAAGCGGAAAUAGAGCAUGCUGGUGGGCAAGACCAAAUAUCGUCAAUCCGCCGUCGCACUAUUUCCGGGACUCUGAGGUCGGGUCAGAGCUAAAGAUGUUGGUUCUAGAUCCUAAGGCUGUUGAGGGGAGUGGGGCCUUUCUCAGCACUUCUUUCUGAGCAGCUGUAGCCUUUAGCUGUUGGGUAAAGAGACUCAGCCCGGAUCAGAAACAUUCCGUGGUUUAUAAUGUUAGAUAUUGUCAGAAUCUUGUGACUAUCCUAGGGUGUUUUUGUUUUUUGGGUUUUUUUUUUUUUUUUUUUAUCCCUAUUCAACAGCAGUUUUUCCCGGAGCUGAGCAAGUUUUACAGAAUCUGAAUUUGCAGAUUUCUAUGAAGACAGUGUCAUCUUUAGCAAACUGAACUUGCUGUGGAGGGUCUGCUGUCCUAUGUGAAAUUAGAGGUUGGAGGCAAACACAGAGCCUUGAAACUUGUCCUUGUGCAGUAAAAGGAUGCUCAAGACACAUGGAAGAGAAAGAUUAACGGAUACAGAGAUAACAUUUCCAUAUGUUGCAAAAAUCAGACUUCGAAAUCAAACCACAGCCAGAGAGUUGGAGAAUUCAUCUUCAUUAUGCUGGCAGGCCAAUUAAGCUAAUGCUCUGAGGAGCUCUGCCCUGAGGCUCAGUUAGCAUUUAUAGUUAGCCCAGCAUCAUUUUCUACCUCUUCCAUUAUUGGUGCGUUUAGCCCAUGACUGAAGACAAUGGGUGAGGUUGGAGGAGCUUGAAUUUUAGACUGCUUAACCAAGGCCUCUAAGCAAGCAUGUUUACAGAAGCAGAAACUAUGGGCUUAGAACAUUAUUUUGUAAUUGUCUGUUUUUUACCAAGAGGAGGGGUAUUCAGCUGAUGUAAGAUUGCAGAAGCAGAGCACAGGAAAUAGCACUCACAGCUACAAGUACUGAAAGAAAUUUUAAAUCAUUUCAAUUUUUCUAAUCAGCUAUGUAGCCAUGGCUGGUCUAAAGCUCUAGGAGAUUCUGGCUGGCCCACACUCACUGCCUCUGCCUCCUGCGUGCUGAGACUUAAAGACAUGGGCUGCCAUGCUCUGCCAUAAGGUCAUUUCCUUUAAAAAGAAAGGCUAGGGGGUGAAGAGAUAGUUCAGCAGUUAAGAGCACUGGCUGCUCUUCCAGAGGACCUGGGUUCAAUUCCCAGAACCUUCAUGGUUUCUUACAACCUCUAAAUCUUGUUCCAGAAAAUGUAAUACUCUUUUCUGGCCUUCUUGGGCACCAGGCACAAAGGUAAUAUGCAGACAAAACACCCAUCCACACAGACAAAAAAAGAAAAGGUAAAGACAUUUGGCCAGGGCAGGGAGAGUGGAGGUGGGGCAGAGUUCUGCAGCACAUGUAUAAAAGAUUAAAGCUGGGUGUGGUGGUGCACACCUUUAGUCCCGGCACUCAAGCUGUAGUCCGAUCUACAGAGUGAGCUCCAAGGCAGCCAGGGCUACACAGGGAAACCUUGUCUGGAAAAGAAAGGGGCGGGGGUGAUAUCUUAGAAUGCUUUUGACAAACUCCCUGGUAAGCAGGUAGGCAGGGAGAGGGGCCAUGGUUAGGCAAUAGCCAAAAUGGCCAGCUCCAUUCUCCUGACCUGAGACAAAGUCUGGCAGCUUAAAACAAAGACCUUGGAGGCCUUUUUCUUCUGCUACUAGGAUCCCUGCAUGUUUCACAGUUAUGGACUAAUCAAGCAUUCUAACUUUCUUCCAAACCAACCUACGCUAAACCAGUGGGGAAAAGCUCUGAAGGACUAGGGGGAAAAAAAAGACCCUUCACAACAGGACUGGAUUUUUUUGGCUUCCCAAGUCCCCCUUCUCUGCUUUUUAAGGAUCUUUUUCACUAUGUACUUGCCAUGGGUCUAUUUCCUCACCCAUAAUAAAAAGCCUUUAAUCCA